UAGCCCUACGGGGGGCAGCAGUAGGGAAUCUUCCACAAUGGGCGCAAGCCUGAUGGAGCAACACCGCGUGAGUGAAGAAGGGUUUCGGCUCGUAAAGCUCUGUUGUUGGAGAAGAAAGAUAGAGGUAGUAACUGGCCUUUAUUUGACGGUAAUUACUUAGAAAGUCACGGCUAACUACGUGCCAGCAGCCGCGGUAAUACGUAGGUGGCAAGCGUUGUCCGGAUUUAUUGGGCGUAAAGCGAGUUCAGGCGGUUCAAUAAGUC
rnacentral:rRNA from 1 species